rnacentral:rRNA from 1 species
GACGAACGCUGGCGGCGUGCCUAAUACAUGCAAGUCGAGCGGUCGAAUCGAAAGCUUGCCUUUGAUUCGUUAGCGGCGGACGGGUGUGUAACACGUGGGCCACCCGCCCUGUAGACGGGGAUAACACCGAGACAUUGGUGCAAAUACCGUAUAACACGAAAUUGCGCAUCACUUUUCGUAAAAAGACGGCUCCAGCUGCCGCUACUGGACCUGCCGGCGGGUCAUUAGCUAGUGGGGGAGGUAACGGCUCACAAAGGCGACGAUACGUAGCCGACCUGAGAGGGUGAUCGGCCACACUGGGACGGGGACACGCCCCAGACUCCUACGGGAGGCAGCAGUAGGGAAUCUUCCGCAUUGAACGAAAGUCUGACGGAGCAACGCGGCGUGGGGGAAGAAGGCCUUCGGGUCGUAAAGCUCUGUUGUUAGGGAAGAACAGGUAACGCAGUAAAUGGCGAUACCGUGACGGUACCUAACGAGAAAGCCACGGCUAACUACGUG